AGCUCCAAUAGCGUAUAUUAAAGUUGUUGCGGUAAAAAAGCUCGUAGUUGGAUUUCUACCGAAGAUAGCCGGUCGGGUCUUCGACCUUGUAUCUGGUUUUGUCUUUGGUAUCCUCAUGGGGAACGUUGCUGCGCUUCACUGCGUGGUGCGGUAUCCAUGACUUUUACUUUGAGGAAAUUAGAGUGUUCACGGCAGGCAAACGCCCUGAAUAUAUUAGCAUGGAAUAAUAACAUAGGAUCUUCGUCCUAUUUUGUUGGUUUCUAGGGCUAAGAUAAUGAUUAAUAGGGAUAAUUGGGGGCAUCUGUAUCAACGCGUCAGAGGUGGAAUUCUUGGAUUGCGUUGCGACAAACUACUGCGAAAGCAUUUGCCAAGGAUGUUUUCA
rnacentral:rRNA from 1 species